rnacentral:rRNA from 1 species
GACGAACGCUGGCGGCGUGCUUAACACAUGCAAGUCGAACGGAAAGGCCCUGCUUUUGUGGGGUGCUCGAGUGGCGAACGGGUGAGUAACACGUGAGUAACCUGCCCUUGACUUUGGGAUAACUUCAGGAAACUGGGGCUAAUACCGGAUAGGAGCUCCUGCUGCAUGGUGGGGGUUGGAAAGUUUCGGCGGUUGGGGAUGGACUCGCGGCUUAUCAGCUUGUUGGUGGGGUAGUGGCUUACCAAGGCUUUGACGGGUAGCCGGCCUGAGAGGGUGACCGGCCACAUUAGGACUGAGAUAGGCACCAGACUGCUACGGGAGGCAGCGGUGGGGAAUAUUGCACAAUGGGCGGAAGCCUGAUGCAGCAACGCCGCGUGCGUGAUGACGGCCUUCGGGUUGUGAACCGCUUUCGCCUGUGACGAAGCGUGAGUGACGGUAAUGGGUAAAGAAGCACCGGCUAACUACGUG